UACGUAGGGUGCGAGCGUUAAUCGGAAUUACUGGGCGUAAAGCGUGCGCAGGCGGUUUGUUUAAGACAGAUGUGAAAAUCCCCCGGGCUUAACCUGGGAACUGCAUUUGUGACUGGCAAGCUAGAGUAUGGCAGAGGGGGGGGUAGAAUUCCACGUGUAGCAGUGAAAAUGCGUAGAGAUGUGGAGGAAUACCGAUGGCGAAGGCAGCCCCCCUGGGAUAAUAUUGACGCUCAUGCACGAAAGCGUGGGGAGCAAACAGGAU
rnacentral:rRNA from 1 species